CCCGCAACGAGCGCAACCUUACCCUUAGUUGUUUUCCCGAAAGGAUUACCCUCUAAGGGGGACUGCCCCGGACAACGGGGAGGAAGGUGGGGAUGACGUCAAGUCCGCAUGCUCCUUACGUCUAGGGCUACACACGUCCUACAAUGGGGUCGACAGUGGGAUGCAAAGCCGCGAGGUGGAGCCAAUCCCCCAAACGGCCUCUCAGUUCGGAUAGUAGUCUGCAACUCGACUACUUGAAGUCGGAAUCGCUAGUAAUGGCGGAUCAGCAUGCCGCCGUGAAUACGUUCCCGGGUCUU
rnacentral:rRNA from 1 species